ensembl:piRNA 21ur-3198 ncRNA
UUACAUUAUUGGCAUAUAUAA